rnacentral:ncRNA from 1 species
CCGUUGUUAUGGUAAUCCUGUUUGGUAUGAGAGGAGUGACAGUUUUGGACAUUUGUUUUAUGUACCUGGUCGAGAGGUCAAAAGUGUGAAGCUACCAUCCAAGAAGUUAAAACUGAAUGCUUCUAGGUGCGAAUGCCAUCCACAUUUACAAGGG